UGGGGAAUAUUGGACAAUGGGGGAAACCCUGAUCCAGCAAUGCCGCGUGUGCGAUGAAGGCCUGAGGGCUGUAAAGCACUUUCGUUGGGGAGGAAAUACUCAAAGCUAAUACCCUUGAGAGCUGACGUUACCCAAAGAGGAAGCACCGGCAAACUCUGUGCCAGCAGCCGCGGUAAUACAGAGGGUGCAAGCGUUAAUCGGAGUUACUGGGCGUAAAGGGCGCGUAGGCUGAUGUUUAAGUUAAUUGUGAAAUCCCUGGGCUUAACCUAGGAAUUGCAGUUAAUACUGGACAUCUAGAGUAUGGUAGAGGAAAGUGGAAUUCUCGGUGUAGUGGUUAAAUACGUAGAUAUCGAGAAGAACACCGGUGGCGAAGGCGACUUUCUGGACCAAUACUGACGCUGAGGCGCGAAAGCGUGGGGAGCGAACAGG
rnacentral:rRNA from 1 species